rfam:Candidatus Accumulibacter sp. S1 isolate 3 genome assembly, contig: ACCAA_Contig_70
GUCGCUGCGAAGCGGGGUGAAAAGCAACCGGAAGCGAACUGGCAGUCCGCAGGAUAACGAACUCGAUUCGGCGGAGAGUGACGGCGAGCCAGCGAUUCCAUGGCGAAGCCUGAAACCCAUCGGACACGCUGUAUUGGCGGUCAAAGCGAUGUCCGGGUCACCUACGUGGUUGGAGGCGGAAUGUCGGGAAGUUUGCGCG